rnacentral:rRNA from 1 species
ACAGCCCAGCGCAUAACCUCCCGGGCUACCAAGCCUGCGGCGGAAUGUUGCGUUAAGGGAAAGGUCGUUAUAAAGCCCUGCACUACAUGGCCUAAGCUUUGGCUUGAAUUUCCACUGUUAUCCUAACGGGUGCAACGGCUCCACAGAGGGUGUUAGACCCGUGUGGCCAUGUGGUUAAAUGUGCAUGGGUUCGGCUUUAUUCCCUGAGAGUCGCGUUGCUUGGACAUGCAGCGCUAAGCAGGUCGUAAACUCGACCUAAGGCUAAAUAUUUUCACAGAACCGAUAGUAAACAAGUACCGUGAGGGAAAGUUGAAAAGUACUCUGAAGAGAGAGUCAAAAGACCGUGAAACCGCUUAGAGUAUAAGCCAAUGGUAAACUGGAAGGCUGGAAAAAACGGUUCCUUUGAGGGAGGCAAGUUAACGUUUGUGCAAUGAUGAAGGCACGGAGGGGAGUAAGUGGCAUUGAGUUUGAUAGCACGCCGUCAAUCCUUGCGGGUAACUGACAGUGGUAACAGGGAACGUUCUAAUGAGGAACUGAACCGAGGCUGUACUUUUGCAAGCUCCGGCUUUGAGGCACACUAACGAGUUUCUUAACACAGCUGCACCGCAAUCCUUUAUAAGGUCACCCUCGCGAGAAGAGAGUGGAGUUCUCAUAUGAGCCGUGGUGUGCCUAUGGUUAUUGCACUUCAUGUGACCUGGGUCGGCCGGCUUCUUUACAUCCAGACGCGAGUGGUAUGAUCCUAAGUGAAGAUUGUUUUCUGAAAGGCCUUAUCCCCGAAACAGAGCCGACCCAUCUGAGUGCGUUUGAGAUAGGGGCCACCUGGAUUCGCUUGUGAGAGAUCAUGGGGAGGCGGCUAUUUGGUGUACUAUUCCAGAGCCAUUGGUCACGUCUCGAAACACGGGCCAAGGAGCAUAGCAUGUGCGCAAGUCUAAGGGAUAAGAAAUCCUGGAGGCAAAGUGAAAGCAAAUGGUGUGUUUGUGUCGAGCUUUCCGGUUCGAUGCAUUCAGCUUCCGAUGAGCGUAAUUCUCGAGCGGAUGACUGCGUCACGGGCUUAAACCGAGUUGAUCCGUCGCAAUAAAGCCUUCAUGGCGAUGCGAAGGCGCAAACUCCAGGCUCUCUGAUAAGGGUAUCGUAUUCUUGAGAGCACUGUGUAGCGUGCAUGCUAUAACCCGAAAGAUAGUGAACUAUGCCUGGCGA